rnacentral:rRNA from 1 species
UUGAACGGCAGCACGGGGGCAACCCUGGUGGCGAGUGGCGAACGGGUGAGUAAUAUAUCGGAACGUGCCCUGGAGUGGGGGAUAACGCAGCGAAAGUUGCGCUAAUACCGCAUACGAUCUACGGAUGAAAGUGGGGGAUUCGCAAGAACCUUAUGCUCGUGGAGCGGCCGAUAUCUGAUUAGCUAGUUGGUAGGGUAAAAGCCUACCAAGGCAUCGAUCAGUAGCUGGUCUGAGAGGACGACCAGCCACACUGGAACUGAGACACGGUCCAGACUCCUACGGGAGGCAGCAGUGGGGAAUUUUGGACAAUGGGGGCAACCCUGAUCCAGCAGUGCCGCGUGAGUGAAGAAGGCCUUCGGGUUGUAAAGCUCUUUUGUCGGGGGAGAAACGGCUCAUCCUAAUACGAUGGGCUAAUGACGGUACCCGAAGAAUAAGCACCGGCUAACUACGUGCCAGCAGCCGCGGUAAUACGUAGGGUGCAAGCGUUAAUCGGAAUUACUGGGCGUAAAGCGUGCGCAGGCGGUUAUGUAAGACAGAUGUGAAAUGCCCGGGCUCAACCUGGGAACUGCAUUUGUGACUGCAUGGCUAGAGUGUGUCAGAGGGGGGUAGAAUUCCACGUGUAGCAGUGAAAUGCGUAGAGGUGUGGAGGAAUACCGAUGGCGAAGGCAGCCCCCUGGGAUAACACUGACGCUCAUGCACGAAAGCGUGGGGAGCAAACAGGAUUAGAUACCCUGGUAGUCC